rnacentral:rRNA from 1 species
AGUAGGGCGGGACACGUGAAAUCCUGUCUGAAGAUGGGGGGACCAUCCUCCAAGGCUAAAUACUCGUGAUCGACCGAUAGUGAACCAGUACCGUGAGGGAAAGGCGAAAAGAACCCCGGGAGGGGAGUGAAAUAGAUCCUGAAACCGCAUGCAUACAAACAGUCGGAGCCUCUUUAUGGGGUGACGGCGUACCUUUUGUAUAAUGGGUCAGCGACUUACGUUCAGUAGCAAGCUUAACCGUAUAGGGCAGGCGUAGCGAAAGCGAGUCCGAAUAGGGCGUUCAGUUGCUGGGCGUAGACCCGAAACCAGGUGAUCUAUCCAUGGCCAGGAUGAAGGUGCGGUAACACGUACUGGAGGUCCGAACCCACUAACGUUGAAAAGUUAGGGGAUGAGCUGUGGAUAGGGGUGAAAGGCUAAACAAACCUGGAAAUAGCUGGUUCUCUCCGAAAACUAUUUAGGUAGUGCCUCGUGUCUCACCUUCGGGGGUAGAGCACUGUCAUGGUUGGGGGGUCUAUUGCAGAUUACCCCGCCAUAGCAAACUCCGAAUACCGAAGAGUGCAAUCACGGGAGACAGACAUCGGGUGCUAACGUCCGGUGUCAAAAGGGAAACAACCCAGACCGCCAGCUAAGGUCCCCAAAUAUGGCUAAGUGGGAAACGAAGUGGGAAGGCUAAAACAGUCAGGAGGUUGGCUUAGAAGCAGCCACCCUUUAAAGAAAGCGUAAUAGCUCACUGAUCGAGUCGUCCUGCGCGGAAGAUGUAACGGGGCUAAGCCAUAUACCGAAGCUGCGGAUGCGUGCUUGCACGCAUGGUAGGAGAGCGUUCCGUAAGCCUGCGAAGGUGCCUUGUAAAGGGUGCUGGAGGUAUCGGAAGUGCGAAUGCUGACAUGAGUAGCGAUAAAGGGGGUGAAAGGCCCCCUCGCCGUAAGCCCAAGGUUUCCUACGCAACGUUCAUCGGCGUAGGGUGAGUCGGCCCCUAAGGCGAGGCAGAAAUGCGUAGCUGAUGGGAAGCAGGUCAAUAUUCCUGCACCAUUGUUAGAUGCGAUGGGGGGACGGAUCGCGGAAGGUUGUCCGGGUGUUGGACGUCCCGGUCGCUGCAUUGGAGAAGGCGCUUAGGCAAAUCCGGGCGCGGAAUUCAAGGGUGUGGCGCGAGCGACUUCGGUCGCGAAGCAAUUGGAAGUGGUUCCAAGAAAAGCCUCUAAGCUUCAGUCUAACGAUGACCGUACCGCAAACCGACACAGGUGGGCGAGAUGAGUAUUCUAAGGCGCUUGAGAGAACUCGGGAGAAGGAACUCGGCAAAUUGGUACCGUAACUUCGGGAUAAGGUACGCCCUUGUAGCUUGACUGGCCUGCGCCAGGAGGGUGAAGGGGUUGCAAUAAACUGGUGGCUGCGACUGUUUAAUAAAAACACAGCACUCUGCAAACACGAAAGUGGACGUAUAGGGUGUGACGCCUGCCCGGUGCCGGAAGAUUAAAUGAUGGGGUGCAAGCUCUUGAUUGAAGUCCCGGUAAACGGCGGCCGUAACUAUAACGGUCCUAAGGUAGCGAAAUUCCUUGUCGGGUAAGUUCCGACCUGCACGAAUGGCGUAACGAUGGCCACACUGUCUCCUCCCGAGACUCAGCGAAGUUGAAGUGUUUGUGAUGAUGCAAUCUACCCGCGGCUAGACGGAAAGACCCCAUGAACCUUUACUGUAGCUUUGCAUUGGACUUUGAACCGAUCUGUGUAGGAUAGGUGGGAGGCUAUGAAACCGGAACGCUAGUUUCGGUGGAGCCGUCCUUGAAAUACCACCCUGGUUUGUUUGAGGUUCUAACCUUGGUCCGUGAUCCGGAUCGGGGACAGUGCAUGGUAGGCAGUUUGACUGGGGCGGUCUCCUCCCAAAGGGUAACGGAGGAGUACGAAGGUACGCUAGGUACGGUCGGAAAUCGUGCUGAUAGUGCAAUGGCAUAAGCGUGCUUAACUGCGAGACCGACAAGUCGAGCAGGUGCGAAAGCAGGUCAUAGUGAUCCGGUGGUUCUGUAUGGAAGGGCCAUCGCUCAACGGAUAAAAGGUACUCUGGGGAUAACAGGCUGAUACCGCCCAAGAGUUCAUAUCGACGGCGGUGUUUGGCACCUCGAUGUCGGCUCAUCUCAUCCUGGGGCUGUAGCCGGUCCCAAGGGUAUGGCUGUUCGCCAUUUAAAGAGGUACGUGAGCUGGGUUUAAAACGUCGUGAGACAGUUUGGUCCCUAUCUGCCGUGGGCGUUGGAUAUUUGAAGGGGGCUGCUCCUAGUACGAGAGGACCGGAGUGGACGAACCUCUGGUGUACCGGUUGUGACGCCAGUCGCAUCGCCGGGUAGCUAUGUUCGGAAGAGAUAACCGCUGAAAGCAUCUAAGCGGGAAACUCGCCUUAAGAUGAGAUAUCCCUGGAGGCUUGACCUCCUUGAAGGGUCGUUCGAGACCAGGACGUUGAUAGGUCGGGUGUGUAAGCGCAGUAAUGCGUUCAGCUAACCGAUACUAAUUGCCCGUAAGGCUUGAUCCUAUAAC